ACAUGCUUACAACAUAGUGUUAAUGCAUUGAAUCCCAUUAGAACUCUGCAGUUAAGCGUGCUUGAGCUAGAGUAGUAUUGGGAUGGGUGACCUCCCCGGAAGUCCUAGCAUUUUACAUGCG
rnacentral:rRNA from 1 species